GCCAAGUACCUGAGAGGAUCCAGCUAUAAGAAUAUUUGCUGGGCUUCAUGACAGCCCAUAUGGCUUUGCACUGGCUGCCAGAGUUUGGCUGAAUUAAUUAGAUCAAAUCAAAGAAGAGAGCCUAAUGGGAUAUUGCUUUUUGGUCCGUUUUUUCUCUCACAAGACCCAAUACUGGAUGUAAUUAAUCAGUCAUGUGACAAAAAUGGCGAAGGUUGUUUUUGUUUUGUUUUCCUUUAGUUUAGUUUAAUUUUGUGAAAGGUUUUUCUGCAAGGGCCAUGGACAAAUAUUUAACUUAGUUGCUUUUAAAGAUAAGAAUAAUGAACAUGAAGCAAAUCCAAUGAAACAAAAGAUUCUACCAGGAAUACUUCAAUAUUAGGAGCAGUCAAAGGGUAAGGAGGAGAAAGAAAGACAGAAGAAAUAAAGGAGAAAAAGAACCACAACAAAAGGAAAGGCACAAGGCAAGACUCAAGAAGAGGGAGGAAGUGCAUGAGGAGGAGAGCUGGAGAGCUCCGGAGGAAGGGCAGACACAGCAUUCAGGAAUAGAACAAUCCAGAAGGAGAGGGAAUGGCUCAGAAGCCGCAGAGAUGAUGGGAGCUAUAUUUCAUUAUUGGCUGUAAUAGAAAAAGAAGGGACUGAAUGUCUGUAAGAUGAAGCCCAUGAAGCCAUUUCAAAACCUACAAUUGUCUUCAUAAUUGGGAAAUGCGGUAGAAUUCAAUAAAAUAAUAAGAAAGUGGAAUGUAAUAUUUCAGCUUAACUCAAUAUCCAAGACCAUCUGCCAAGGACUUCACUUUCUUCCUCUGCUGGAGGAUGUCAGUCUUUCUAGCAACUGAUUUGCAGCCGGCAAUUGUUCACCUUGGG
rnacentral:lncRNA from 1 species